GUAAAAUUACAUAGAAACACAUAUAAUAUGGCGGGAUAAUGUCUUACUGCAUGCUGACAGAAGUUUAGACGAAGACAUGUGGCAUUCAAAAUAUUCUUUCCACUCACCCACACGAAAGAAGAAGGUGUGAGAGACAUAUCUCCGAGUACCAGCGUUCUAGUAAUACAGAUAAGUUGAUUCAGAGACAUCAACGUCAGAUUGAAAGGUCUCUCCAGCUAGGCCGAAAAGAACAAGCUCUUCAUUACAUGGGAUGCAAGACAGUGGUCCACACCGUAAUGUACUUCUACAAACAAUACUACGUCCGCAGCUGGCUACAGGCGCAGGUUCAUUCCUGGGAAAUCUUGCGCGCCGUGGAUACCGACUGCGAUCCCCCUAACUUCGUGUCAGCCACGCUAAACUUCCAGAACGAGAGGAUACAACCCUAUAAGUAUCAUCAGGCACAAGUUGCUGCCCAGUGUAGUUUCUCAAGGGCAAGUUAGAGUGAUCUGUGUUUGCAGUACUUGUUUGAUAUUUGACAGCAAUUUUGUCUUAUUGGGAUUUAGAACUGGACUCUGAAUGCUGUGAGAACUUUGCGUGAAUCAAAAAAAAAGUGGGAUACGAUGUAACACUUUAAUUCUGACAUUUGGAUUUAAUUCUACUGAGUUUUAUUAAUCUAAUCUGAGCAGUUAGGAGAAUUGUAUGUGCAUAAAUUGUGCUAUACUAUUACUGUUAAAAUGUUAUUGUGCAAGUGCUUAUGAGACUAAUAAUAAAUUGUAAACCAAUA